rnacentral:rRNA from 1 species
AUGGCCUCCUCCUCCGGGAGGCGGCCGGGCGCGGGCCCCGGCCCAGGCGGCGGCUCCUCCACCCCGGCCCCGGCGUCCGGCGGCGGCAGGAGGAUCCUGCGCACGCAGACGGCGGGGAACCUGGGCGAGUCCAUCUUCGACAGUGAGGUGGUGCCCUCCUCGCUGGUGGAGAUCGCCCCCAUCCUCCGUGUCGCCAACGAGGUGGAGGCCAGCAACCCCCGGGUCGCAUACCUAUGUCGAUUCUACGCCUUCGAGAAGGCCCAUCGACUCGACCCCACCUCCAGCGGCCGUGGUGUCCGCCAGUUCAAGACCGCGCUCCUACAGAGGCUCGAAAGGGAAAACGACCCGACGUUGAAGGGGAGGGUUAAGCAGAGCGAUGCCCGCGAAAUGCAGAGUUUCUACCAGCACUACUACAAGAAGUACAUCCAGGCGCUCCAGAAUGCCGCCGAUAAAGCUGACCGUGCCCAGCUGACAAAGGCGUAUCAGACUGCGGCUGUUCUGUUUGAGGUCCUGAAGGCCGUCAAUGUCUCACAGAAAAUCGAAGUCGAUCAGGCGAUUUUGGAGACGCACAACCAAGUCGAGGAGAAGAAGAAGCUGUAUCUUCCUUACAAUAUCCUCCCGCUCGACCCUGACAGUGCUGCUAAUCAGGCUAUUAUGCGAUACCCUGAGAUCCAAGCCUCUUUUCACGCUCUUCGUAACACAAGGGGUCUGCCAUGGCCCAAGGACCAUGAAAAGAAGGAUGAUGCAGAUCUUCUUGAGUGGCUUCAGGCACUGUUUGGGUUUCAGAAAGAUAACGUGUCCAAUCAACGAGAACAUCUCAUACUCUUGCUUGCCAACGUCCAUAUAAGGGAGAUGUCCAAACCUGACCAGCAAUCAAAGCUAGACGACCAUGCGCUAGAUAUAGUAAUGAAGAAGCUCUUCAAGAACUACAAAAGAUGGUGCAAAUACCUUGGCCGCAAAAGCAGCUUAUGGCUGCCGACAAUUCAACAAGAAGUACAACAGCGGAAGCUUCUCUAUAUGGGCCUUUAUCUGCUCAUAUGGGGCGAGGCAGCUAACUUGCGAUUUAUGCCAGAGUGUCUUUGCUACAUCUAUCAUCAUAUGGCUUUUGAAUUGUAUGGCAUGUUGGCUGGAAAUGUGAGCCCAACAACUGGUGAAAAUGUUAAACCAGCCUAUGGUGGUGCCGAAGAAGCCUUCCUGAAGAAAGUUGUGACCCCAAUUUACAAAAUCAUAGAGAUGGAAGCUGAAAGGAGCAAGACCAUGAAAUCAAAACACUCACAUUGGAGAAAUUAUGAUGAUCUCAAUGAGUACUUUUGGUCAAGAGAUUGUUUUCGGUUAGGAUGGCCUAUGAGAGCUGAUGCUGAUUUUUUCAAGACUCCAAAUUUUGUUCUCAAUCCUCGAGAUCAGACGAAUGGGGAGCACAGACCAGCUGGUAAUGACCAUUGGAUGGGAAAAGUCAACUUUGUUGAAAUACGGUCAUUUUGGCACAUCUUCCGUAGCUUUGACAGGAUGUGGAGCUUCUUAAUUUUGUCCUUACAGGCCAUGGUUAUAGUUGCUUGGAAUGGUGGCACACCAGGUGACAUCUUUGAUGCAGGAGUGUUCAAACAAGUUUUGAGCAUAUUUAUAACUGCUGCAGUAAUGAAAAUGGGCCAAGCAAUUCUGGACAUUGUCUUGAGCUGGAAAGCAAGAAGAAGCAUGUCUCUUGCUGUCAAACUCCGGUACAUCUUGAAAUUACUAUCAGGAGCUGCAUGGGUUGUAAUUCUACCAGUAACUUACGCAUACACCUCAGACAACCCUACUGGACUCAAUAGAACAAUCAAAAGCUGGUUCGGUGACGGCCGGAACCAGCCAUCGUUAUACAUCUUGGCUGUUGUGAUAUAUUUGUCACCAAAUAUGCUGGCGGCUACGUUAUUCAUUUUUCCUGUCCUGAGGAGAUUUCUUGAGAAGUCAAAUCUUAAAGUUGUAGCCCUCAUAAUGUGGUGGUCACAGCCUCGCUUAUUCGUUGGCAGAGGAAUGCAUGAAGGCGCAUUCUCCCUUUUCAAGUAUACAAUGUUCUGGGUCGUUCUUCUGGCCACAAAAUUGGUAGUGAGCUUCUAUGUGGAGAUCAGGCCACUCGUGCAACCAACAAAAGAUAUAAUGAAGGUGCCAAUAACAACAUUUCAGUGGCACGAGUUCUUCCCACAUGCAAAGAACAACAUCGGUGUUGUCAUUGCACUUUGGGCUCCUAUCAUUCUUGUCUAUUUCAUGGAUACCCAAAUAUGGUAUGCAAUUUUCUCAACAUUAGUUGGUGGUAUCUAUGGGGCAUGUCGUCGUCUUGGUGAGAUACGGACCUUAGGAAUGUUAAGAUCUCGCUUCGAAUCUUUGCCAAAGGCUUUCAAUGAUCACUUGAUUCCAAAUGACUCAAAGAGGAGAGGAUUCCGCUCCGCUUUCUCCAGCAAACCUUAUAAGAAACCUGAGGAUGGCAAAGAAGAAGACAAAAUAGCUGCAAGAUUUGCUCAGAUAUGGAAUCUAAUUAUCACAAGCUUCCGCCAGGAAGACUUGAUAGAUAACAGGGAGAAGGACUUGUUACUUGUUCCAUACUGCAAGGAUCGUGAAAUGGAUAUGAUCCAAUGGCCACCAUUCCUGCUUGCUAGCAAGAUCCCAAUAGCAUUGGACAUGGCAGCAGACAGUGGAGGAAAAGAUCGUGAUCUAAAGAAAAGGAUGAAUUCAGAUCCAUAUUUUACUUAUGCCAUCAAGGAAUGCUAUGCUUCAUUCAAAAACGUAAUAUAUGCUGUAGUGGUUGGUCCACGGGAGCGCGAUGUCAUCCAAAAGAUUUUUAAAGUGGUGGAUGAUCUCGUAGCAGCCGAUACCCUGAUAAAGGAUCUGCACAUGAGUAACUUGCCUACCCUGAGCAAGAAGUUUAUUGAGCUGCUUGUGAUACUGCAAAAGAAUAACAAGGAUGAUCUGGGUCAGGUCAUCAUUUUGUUCCAGGAUAUGCUCGAGGUGGUUACGAGGGAUAUAAUGGAAGACCAACUCACCGAGCUACUGGAACCGGUACAUGGUGGAAAUAACAGAAAACACGAAGGGAUUACACCACUUGAUCAACAGGAACAGGAACAGUUGUUCACUAAAGCCGUUGAAUUUGAAUUUCCUGUGAAGGCAUCAGAUGCCUGGAAGGAAAAGAUAAAAAGGCUUCACCUUCUGCUCACAGUGAAGGAAUCUGCUAUGGAUGUUCCUACAAACCUGGAUGCUAGAAGGAGGAUAUCUUUCUUUGCUAAUUCUCUUUUUAUGGACAUGCCAAAAGCUCCAAAAGUGCGCAAUAUGCUGCCCUUCUCUGUCUUGACUCCCUAUUACAAAGAAGACGUCCUUUUCUCCUCACAAGCACUAGAGGAAGAGAACGAGGAUGGGGUUUCUAUCCUUUUUUACCUGCAAAAAAUCUACCCAGAUGAAUGGAAAAACUUUCUUGAAAGGGUGGACUGCAAGAAUGAAGAGGAACUCCGUGAGACUGAACAAACGGAAGAUGAGCUUCGCCUUUGGGCAUCAUACAGGGGCCAAACUUUGACGAGAACUGUAAGAGGGAUGAUGUACUACCGACAAGCUUUGGUGCUUCAGUCUUGUCUUGAUAUGGCCCCAGAGAAUGAUCUUAUGGAAGGCUUCAGGGCUGCAGAUAUACUAUCUGAGGAAUCACACUUGUUGACUCAGUCAAAAGCUGUAGCCGACAUGAAGUUUACAUACGUUGUAUCAUGCCAGUCAUAUGGUAUCCAGAAACGUUCUGGUGAUGCACGUGCACAGGAUAUUCUGAGACUCAUGACAACUUAUCCAUCACUUCGGGUUGCCUACAUUGACGAAGUCGAGGAGACAAGCAAAGAGGGCGAGGCAAGCAAAGAUAGGAGCAAGAAGAUAGAGAAGGUUUACUACUCGGCGUUGGUGAAGGCAGCAGUAACUAAGCCUGAUGAUCCUGGUCAGAAACUCGAUCAGGACAUAUACAGGAUAAAACUUCCAGGCAAUGCAAUGUUGGGUGAAGGGAAACCAGAAAAUCAGAACCAUGCGAUAAUUUUUACUCGAGGCGAAGGCCUACAGACCAUAGACAUGAAUCAGGAGCAUUAUAUGGAGGAGACAUUGAAAAUGAGAAACCUGCUGCAAGAGUUUACGAAGAAACAUGAUGGUGUGAGGUAUCCGACAAUACUUGGUGUAAGAGAACAUAUAUUCACUGGCAGUGUUUCUUCGCUUGCGUGGUUCAUGUCAAACCAAGAGACAAGUUUUGUGACUAUUGGACAGCGUGUACUUGCCAAUCCUUUAAGGGUUCGAUUUCAUUAUGGACAUCCUGAUAUCUUUGAUCGACUUUUCCAUCUCACAAGGGGUGGUGUAAGCAAAGCAUCUAAGAUUAUCAAUCUUAGUGAGGACAUAUUUGCUGGAUUCAAUUCAACGCUGCGUGAAGGAAACGUUACACAUCAUGAAUACAUGCAAGUUGGCAAGGGAAGAGAUGUUGGUCUCAACCAGAUUUCACUAUUCGAGGCAAAAAUUGCGUAUGGUAAUGGCGAACAGACACUGAGCCGUGACAUCUACCGACUUGGGCAUCGUUUUGAUUUCUUCAGAAUGUUGUCCUGCUACUACACUACUAUUGGCUUCUACUUCAGCACAAUGAUUACGGUAUGGACCGUGUAUGUAUUUCUCUAUGGGCGUCUGUAUCUUGUCCUCAGUGGGCUUGAUAAAGGACUAGCCACUGGAAGAAGGUUUAUACACAAUGACCCUCUCCAAGUCGCUCUCGCUUCGCAAUCUUUUGUUCAGCUUGGCUUCUUGAUGGCGCUCCCUAUGAUGAUGGAGAUCGGUCUGGAGAGAGGGUUCAGGACCGCGUUGAGCGACUUUGUGCUCAUGCAGCUUCAGUUAGCGUCCGUCUUCUUCACAUUCUCCCUCGGAACCAAGACUCACUACUACGGAAAGACGCUGCUCCACGGAGGAGCCGAGUACAGAGCCACCGGACGUGGAUUCGUGGUGUUCCAUGCCAAAUUCGCCGAGAACUAUCGACUGUACUCACGGAGCCAUUUCGUCAAGGGCAUCGAGCUGAUGAUCCUGCUUAUCGUGUUUGAGAUCUUCGGGCAGUCGUACCGAGGAGCUAUCGCGUACAUCUUCAUCACCUUCUCCAUGUGGUUCAUGGUUGUCACCUGGCUCUUUGCGCCGUUCCUGUUCAACCCUUCUGGGUUCGAGUGGCAGAAGAUUGUGGACGACUGGACCGACUGGAACAAGUGGAUCAGCAACCGCGGGGGUAUCGGUGUUUCGCCGGACAAAAGCUGGGAGUCAUGGUGGGAGAAAGAGCACGAGCCACUUAAAUACUCCGGGAAGCGUGGCACCGUUCUUGAGAUAGUGCUGGCGGUGCGCUUCUUCAUCUACCAGUAUGGGCUUGUUUACCAUCUCAACAUAACCAAACACACCAAGAGCGUCCUGGUGUAUUGCUUGUCAUGGGUUGUCAUCUUCUUCAUAUUGCUGGUGAUGAAGGCUGUGUCGGUUGGUCGGCGGAAAUUCAGCGCCGAGUUCCAGCUUGUGUUCCGGCUGCUCAAGGGGCUGAUCUUCAUCGUCUUCAUCUCCACCAUCGUGAUCCUGAUCGUGAUCCCCCACAUGACGAUCCAGGACAUAUUUGUCUGCAUCCUCGCCUUCAUGCCGACGGGAUGGGGCCUGCUCCUGGUUGCUCAGGCGCUGAAGCCUGCGAUCAUGAGCGUGGGGCUGUGGGGGUCGAUCCGGGCGCUGGCUCGUGGGUACGAGAUCAUCAUGGGGCUGCUGCUCUUCACCCCGAUCGCGUUCCUGGCGUGGUUCCCGUUCGUGUCUGAGUUCCAGACCCGGAUGCUCUUCAACCAGGCCUUCAGCCGUGGGCUGCAGAUCUCGAGGAUCCUGGGCGGGCACAAGAAGGACCGGGCGGCGCUGAGCAAGGACGAUAGGUAG